CCAGACUCCUACGGGAGGCAGCAGUGGGGAAUAUUGCACAAUGGGCGAAAGCCUGAUGCAGCAACGCCGCGUGAAGGAAGACGGUUUUCGGAUUGUAAACUUCUAUCAAUAGGGAAGAAAGAAAUGACGGUACCUAAAUAAGAAGCCCCGGCUAACUACGUGCCAGCAGCCGCGGUAAUACGUAGGGGGCAAGCGUUAUCCGGAAUUACUGGGUGUAAAGGGAGAGUAGGCGGCAAGGUAAGCGAUAUGUGAAAGCCUUGGGCUUAACCAAAGGAUUGCAUAACGAACUAUCUAGCUAGAGUACAGGAGAGGAAAGCGGAAUUCCUAGUGUAGCGGUGAAAUGCGUAGAUAUUAGGAAGAACACCAGUGGCGAAGGCGGCUUUCUGGACUGAAACUGACGCUGAGGCUCGAAAGCGUGGGGAGCGAACAGGAUUAGAUACCCCGGUACAA
rnacentral:rRNA from 1 species